rnacentral:rRNA from 1 species
GACGAACGCUGGCGGCGUGCUUAACACAUGCAAGUCGAACGGAAAGGCCCUGCUUUUGUGGGGUGCUCGAGUGGCGAACGGGUGAGUAACACGUGAGUAACCUGCCCUUGACUUUGGGAUAACUUCAGGAAACUGGGGCUCAUACCGGAUAGGAGCUCCUGCUGCAUGGUUGGGGUUGGUAAUUUUCGGCGGUUGGGGAUGGACUCGCGGCUUAUCAGCUUGUUGUGGGGGUCGUGGCUUACCACGGCUUUGACGGGUAGCCGGCCUGAGAGGGGGACCGGCCAAAUGGGGACGGGGAAACGGCCAAGACUCCAACGGGAGGAAGAGGUGGGGAAUAUUGCAAAAUGGGGGGAAGCCGGAUGCAGCAACGCCGGGGGCGGGAGGACGGCCUUCGGGUGGGAAACCGCUUUCGCAGGUGACGAAGCGUGAGUGACGGUAAUGGGUAAAGAAGCACCGGCUAACUACGUG